UGGGGAAUCUUCCGCAAUGGGCGAAAGCCUGACGGAGCAAUGCCGCGUGGAGGUAGAAGGCCCACGGGUCGUAAACUCCUUUUCUCGGAGAAGAAGCAGUGACGGUAUCCGAAGAAUAAGCAUCGGCUAACUCUGUUCCAGCAGCCGCGGUAAGACAGGGGAUGCAAGCGUUAUCCGGAAUGAUUGGGCGUAAAGCGUCUGUAGGUGGCUCCUUAAGUCCGCUGUCAAAUCCCAGGGCUCAACCCUGGACAGGCGGUGGAAACUACUAAGCUGGAGUACGGGAGGGGCAGGGGGAAUUUCCGGUGGAGCGGUGAAAUGCGUAGAGAUCGGAAAGAACACCAAAGGCGAAGGCACCCUGCUGGGCCGACACUGACACUGAGAGACGAAAGCUAGGGGAGCGAAUGGG
rnacentral:rRNA from 1 species